GAUGAACGCUGGCGGCGUGCCUAAUACAUGCAAGUCGAGCGAACAGACGAGGAGCUUGCUCCUUUGACGUUAGCGGCGGACGUGUGAGUAACACGUGGAUAACCUACCUAUAAUACGGGGAUAACUUCGGGAAACCGGAUCUAAUACCGGAUAAUAUAUUGAACCGCAUGGGGCAAUAGUGAAAUUCGGUUUUGCUGUCACGUAUAGAGGGAUCCGAGCCUGAUUGUCUAGUUGGUGAGGUAACGGCCUACGAAGGGGACGAUGCGUAGCCGACCUGAGAGGGUGGUCGGCCACACUGGAACGGAGACACGGUCCAGACUCCUAAGAGAGGCAGCAGAAGGGAAUGUUCCGCAAAGGGGGAAAGCCUGACGGAGCAACGCCGCGUGAGUGAUGAAGGUCUUCGGAUCGUAAAAAUCUGUUAUUAGGGAAGAACAAAUGUGUAAGUAACUAUGCACGUCUUGACGGUACCUAGUCAGAAAGCAACGGCUAACUACGUG
rnacentral:rRNA from 1 species